rnacentral:ncRNA from 2 species
GCAAAAGUCAGGACUAGACAUACUAUCCAUCGAUUCAGUCCUUACCUUACGCCCUCACUGAUUUCCUGCCGUGAGGGC